GACGAACGCUGGCGGCGUGCUUAACACAUGCCAGUCGAACGGAAAGGCCCUGCUUUUGUGGGGUGCUCGAGUGGCGAACGGGUGAGUAACACGUGAGUAACCUGCCCUUGACUUUGGGAUAACUUCAGGAAACUGGGGCUAAUACCGGAUAGGAGCUCCUGCUGCAUGGUGGGGGUUGGAAAGUUUCGGCGGUUGGGGAUGGACUCGCGGCUUAUCAGCUUGUUGGUGGGGUAAUGGCUUACCAAGGCUUUGACGGGUAGCCGGCCUGAGAGGGUGACCGGCCACAUUGGGACUGAGAUACGGCCCAGACUCCUACGGGAGGCAGCAGUGGGGAAUAUUGCACAAUGGGCGGAAGCCUGAUGCAGCAACGCCGCGUGCGGGAUGACGGCCUUCGGGUUGUAAACCGCUUUCGCCUGUGACGAAGCGUGAGUGACGGUAAUGGGUAAAGAAGCACCGGCUAACUACGUG
rnacentral:rRNA from 1 species